AUUUGUAUAGUUUACUUUAAAACCCUUCAUUUUCAAUGAAGAAAUAAGAAAAUCUAUCUUUGCAAAUA
rnacentral:tRNA from 1 species